CUGAACCAGCCAAGUAGCGUGAAGGAUGACUGCCCUAUGGGUUGUAAACUUCUUUUAUAAGGGAAUAAAGUCGGGUAUGUAUACCCGUUUGCAUGUACUUUAUGAAUAAGGAUCGGCUAACUCCGUGCCAGCAGCCGCGGUAAUACGGAGGAUCCGAGCGUUAUCCGGAUUUAUUGGGUUUAAAGGGAGCGUAGGUGGAUUGUUAAGUCAGUUGUGAAAGUUUGCGG
rnacentral:rRNA from 1 species